rnacentral:rRNA from 1 species
AGUGAACGCUGGCGGUAGGCCUAACACAUGCAAGUCGAACGGCAGCACAGUAAGAGCUUGCUCUUACGGGUGGCGAGUGGCGGACGUGUGAGGAAUACAUCGGAAUCUACUUUUUCGUGGGGGAUAACGUAGGGAAACUUACUCUAAUACCGCAUACGACCUACGGGUGAAAGCAGGGGAUCGUCUCACCGUGCGCGGUUGAAUGCGCCGAUGUCGGAUUAGCUAGUUGGGGGGGUAAAGGCCCACGAAGGCGACGAUCCGUAGCUGGUCUGAGAGGACGGUCAGCCGCACGGGAGCUGGGACGGGGACCAGGCGCCUACGAGAGGCAGCAGUGGGGAAUGUUGGACAACGGUGGGGAGCCUGACACAGCGGUACGGAGUGGGAGACGACGACCUCGCGGUUGUGAAGACGUUUUGUUGGGAGAAAAACGCAGCCGGCUGAGACCCAGCUGUACUGACGGUAACGAAAGAAUAAGCACCGGCUAACUUCGUG